rnacentral:tRNA from 1 species
GCUUUUAUAGUUUAAAAAUUAAAACAUUAGUCUUGUAAACUGAAAAUAUAUUCUAUAUUAAAAGUA